GUCCCUGUAGUGCAAUGGAUAGCGCAUAGGACUUUUAAUCCAAGGGUCGUGGGUUCAAAUUCCACCUGGGAUA